CGCAUCACGUUGCAAUAUCGGUUCCCGUAUGAUCACUGAAGACAAGCAACGUCAAGCCUGGUCAGUACCUAGAUAGGUGACAGUUUGUGAAUACCAAGUGCUGUAAG